GCCUUGCUAGCUCAGUCAGUAGAGCGUAAGACUCUUACAGUCCCUCUGACAGGGUAAGAGUAUUAAGGUUGCGGGUUCGAAUUUCGUGUGAGAUU